rnacentral:misc_RNA from 1 species
GGAGGGACAUUACCGAGUUUACAAACUCCCAACCCUAUGUGAACCUACCUAUCGUUGCUUCGGCGGGCUUUAGCCCCCGCGCCGCUCGCCGGCGCCGGGAAACAGGCGCCCGCCGGAGACCCAAACUCAAUGUUUUUCAUGCAGUAUUAUCUGAGUGGCAAACGCAAAAAUAAAUCAAAACUUUUAACAACGGAUCUCUUGGCUCUGGCAUCGAUGAAGAACGCAGCGAAAUGCGAUAAGUAAUGUGAAUUGCAGAAUUCAGUGAAUCAUCGAAUCUUUGAACGCACAUUGCGCCCGCGAGUAUUCUCGCGGGCAUGCCUGUCCGAGCGUCAUUUCAACCCUCAGGGCCCGCCUGCUUGCAGGCGCGGCGCUGGUGUUGGGGAUCGGCUACCCUGCCGUCCCCCAAAUACAGUGGCGGUCUCGCUGCAGCCUCCCCUGCGUAGUAGCAACACUCGCAUGCGGAGCGCGGCGCGGCCACGCCGUAAAACCCCCGACUUUCUGAACGUUGACCUCGGAUCAGGUAGGAAUACCCGCUGAACUUAAGCAUAUCAAUAA